rnacentral:rRNA from 1 species
UAGGGAAUCUUCGGCAAUGGACGAAAGUCUGACCGAGCAACGCCGCGCGGGUGAAGAAGGUUUUCGGAUCGUAAAACUCUGUUGUUAGAGAAGAACAAGGACGUUAGUAACUGAACGUCCCCUGACGGUAUCUAACCAGAAAGCCACGGCUAACUACGUGCCAGCAGCCGCGGUAAUACGUAGGUGGCAAGCGUUGUCCGGAUUUAUUGGGCGUAAAGCGAGCGCAGGCGGUUACUUAAGUCUGAUGUGAAAGCCCCCGGCUCAACCGGGGAGGGUCAUUGGAAGCUGGGAGACUUGAGUGCAGAAGAGGAGAGUGGAAUUCCAUGUGUAGCGGUGAAAUGCGUAGAUAUAUGGAGGAACACCAGUGGCGAAGGCGGCUCUCUGGUCUGUAACUGACGCUGAGGCUCGAAGGCGUGGGGAGCAAACAGG